AUGGACGCAAGUCUGAUGGAGCAACGCCGCGUGAGUGAAGAAGGUUUCGGCUCGUAAAGCUCUGUUGGUAGUGAAGAAAGAUAGAGGUAGUAACUGGCCUUUAUUUGACGGUAAUUACUUAGAAAGUCACGGCUAACUACGUGCCAGCAGCCGCGAUAAUACGUAGGUGGCAAGCGUUGUCCGGAUUUAUUGGGCGUAAAGCGAGUGCAGGCGGUUCAAUAAGUCUGAUGUGAAAGCCUUCGGCUCAACCGGAGAAUUGCAUCAGAAACUGUUGAACUUGAGUGCAGAAGAGGAGAGUGGAACUCCAUGUGUAGCGGUGGAAUGCGUAGAUAUAUGGAAGAACACCAGUGGCGAAGGCGGCUCUCUGGUCUGCAACUGACGCUGAGGCUCGAAAGCAUGGGUAGCGAACAGGAUUAGAUACCCUGGUAGUCCAUGCCGUAAACGAUGAGUGCUAAGUGUUGGGAGGUUUCCGCCUCUCAGUGCUGCAGCUAACGCAUUAAGCACUCCGCCUGGGGAGUACGACCGCAAGGUUGAAACUCAAAGGAAUUGACCGGGGCCCGCACAAGCGGUGGAGCAUGUGGUUUAAUUCGAAGCAACGCGAAGAACCUUACCAGGUCUUGACAU
rnacentral:rRNA from 1 species